GUGCUUGCUUUGGCAGCACAUAUACUAAAAUUGGAAAGAUACAGAAAUUAUCCUGGCCCCUGUGCAAGGAUGACAUGAGAAUUCGUGAAGCAUUCCAUAUUUUA